UUGAUUUUUAAAGCAAACCAAGCUUUUUUUACAAAGUAAGGUUUUGCGAAUAAUAUUUAAAACCCCACUCUUUUAAAAAUAAAUUUUUCAUUCAUAUAAUGAAUAAAAAAAGA
rnacentral:misc_RNA from 1 species